AUACAGUUGAAGAGUCCCAAAUAGGACGAAAAGUGCAUCCUGGAU
rfam:Schistosoma haematobium scaffold1309_2, whole genome shotgun sequence.